rnacentral:rRNA from 1 species
CACUUCUAAGGAAGGCAGCAGGCGCGCAAAUUACCCAAUCCUGACUCAGGGAGGUAGUGACAAGAAAUAACAAUAAACCGGCUUAUGCCGGUUUAAUUGGAAUGAGUACAAUUUAAACAUCUUAACGAGGAACAAUUGGAGGGCAAGUCUGGUGCCAGCAGCCGCGGUAAUUCCAGCUCCAAUAGCGUAUACUAAAGUUGUUGCAGUUAAAAAGCUCGUAGUUGGAUUUCUGUGGGGACGGAGCGGCCGGCCGCAACUCGCGGUUCGAGCUAGCGCUUUCCCUACAUCCUGCCGCGAACCGUGCUACCAUUAGUUUGGUGGCGCCGGGGAUCGGCUCGAUUACUUUGAGAAAAAUAGAGUGUUCAAAGCAGGCCACACGCCUUGAAUAAGUUAGCAUGGAAUAAUAACUAAGGACUUCGGUUCUAUUUUGUUGGUGUUCGGGACUGAAGUAAUGAUUGAUAGGGACAGUUGGGGCGGUCUGUAUUCCAAAGCGAGAGGUGAAAUUCUUAGACCUUCGGAAGACAAACAGCUGCGAAAGCGUUCCGCAAGGAUGUUCCCUUUGAUCAAGAACGAAAGUUGGGGGAUCGAAGACGAUCAGAUACCGUCGUAGUCUCAACUAUAAACUAUACCAGCUAGGGAUCGGCCAACGUUAUUUUAUACCGACUUGGUGGGCACCUUAUGAGAAAUCAAAGCAUCUGGGUUCCGGGGGGAGUAUGGUCGCAAGGCUGAAACUUAAAGGAAUUGACGGAAGGGCACCACCAGCCGUGGAGCCUGUGGCUUAAUUUGACUCAACACGGGAAAACUUACCAGGUCCAGACAUAGUAAGGAUUGACAGAUUGAUAGCUCUUUCUUGAUUCUGUGGGUGGUGGUGCAUGGCCGUUCUUAGUUGGUGGAGUGAUUUGUCUGGUUAAUUCCGUUAACGAACGGGACCCCAGCCUGCUAAAUAGCACGCGUGAGCUUUGCUCGCGGCGAGCUUCUUAGAGGGACUAUGAUGCGCGAUAGCACAUGGAAGUUUGGGGCAAUAACAGGUCUGUGAUGCCCUUAGAUGUUCUGGGCCGCACACGGGCUACACUGGCGCCUGCAACGAGCAUAUCAGCUGGCCCGAGAGGGUCUUGGCUAAUCUUUUGAACCGGCGCCGUGCUUGGGAUUGACCUUUGCAAUUGUUGGUCAUGCAACGAGGAAUGCCUUGUAAACGCGAGUCAUCAGCUCGCAUUGAAUACGUCCCUGCCCUUUGUACACACCGCCCGUCGCUCCUACCGAUGAAUGUUCCGAUGAAAUUUUCGGAGAGCACCUGUGAACUUGGCUCUGCCUUGCGAACGGGAGGCUCAAAGUCACUUAAAUCUGAACAUUUCGAGG